AGGACCCGGGAGGGCCAAUGGGCGGCGAGGCAGCCGGGACAAACAGCCGCGGGGGCCGCGGGCGGACCAAUGGGAGCGCGGGACGGGACGGGGGCGGGGCCUGCCGCGACGGGACGGGCGCGCGAGGGCGGUCGCGGCCGGCGGAUGGGGGCGGAGGGAGUCGAGGGCCGGGCUCCCGCCCCGGGCGCGCUGGGAGGAAGGAAGGACCCUGCGUGCAGGCAUUUGGUCCUUGGGAGAGUGAGCGAAUGAACAGAAGACCUCACCUACCACCACCCGUGCCCUGGUCCGGUGGCUCCCGACCAGCCUCCUUGCUGGUUUCCUGGCCUCUCCUCUUUCAGUGCCCUCAACCCAGCGAUCAGUUCACUCCCCUGCUCAAAGUUCAACAGUGCUAAUAGAUCAGCUCUGCAUUCUUGUUGCAGAGGCGGUCAGCGGCCAUCAGAAUCUGACCCCUGCCUGUUGUCCUCCAUCAUUGCCCACACACGUUUUACAUGCUAGGGAUACAUAACACUGGACUGCUGGGAAUUCCCAGAAUAAACCAGGUCCUUUGUACCUC